rnacentral:rRNA from 1 species
AGUCGAACGAAAGAGGGAAAGAGCUUGCUCUUUCCGGAAUUGAGUGGCAAACGGGUGAGUAACACGUAAACAACCUGCCUUCAGGAUGGGGACAACAGACGGAAACGACUGCUAAUACCGAAUAAGUUCCAAGAGCCGCAUGGCCCAUGGAAGAAAAGGUGGCCUCUACCUGUAAGCUAUCGCCUGAAGAGGGGUUUGCGUCUGAUUAGCUGGUUGGAGGGGUAACGGCCCACCAAGGCGACGAUCAGUAGCCGGUCUGAGAGGAUGAACGGCCACACUGGAACUGAGACACGGUCCAGACUCCUACGGGAGGCAGCAGUGGGGAAUCUUCCGCAAUGGGCGAAAGCCUGACGGAGCAACGCCGCGUGAGUGAUGACGGCCUUCGGGUUGUAAAACUCUGUGAUCCGGGACGAAAAGGCAGAGUGCGAAGAACAAACUGCAUUGACGGUACCGGAAAAGCAAGCCACGGCUAACUACGUGCCAGCAGCCGCGGUAAUACGUAGGUGGCAAGCGUUGUCCGGAAUUAUUGGGCGUAAAGCGCGCGCAGGUGGCUUCCCAAGUCCCUCUUAAAAGUGCGGGGCUUAACCCCGUGAUGGGAAGGAAACUGGGAAGCUGGAGUAUCGGAGAGGAAAGUGGAAUUCCUAGUGUAGCGGUGAAAUGCGUAGAGAUUAGGAAGAACACCGGUGGCGAAGGCGACUUUCUGGACGAAAACUGACGCUGAGGCGCGAAAGCGUGGGGAGCAAACAGGAUUAGAUACCCUGGUAGUCC